rnacentral:rRNA from 1 species
AAAACAUGUCUUUUUGUUUAAAAUUUAAAGUCUAACCUGCCCACUGAUAAUAAAUUAAAGGGCCGCGGUAUUUUGACUGUGCAAAGGUAGCAUAAUCAUUUGUCUCUUAAUUGGAGGCUGGAAUGAAUGGUUGAAUGAAAUAUUAACUGUCUCAUUUUUAAAAUUAUAAAAAUUUAGCUUUUAAGUCAAAAGGCUUAAAUAAAUUUAGAGGACGAGAAGACCCUAUAGAUCUUUAUAAUUUAAUUAAUUUUAUAAAGUAGAAAAUUAAUUAAUAAAAUUAAUUAAAUUAUUUUAUUGGGGUGAUAGGAAAAUUAAAAAAACUUUUUUUAAAUAAAAACAUUUAUUUAUGAGUAAUUGAUCCAUUUUUAGUGAUUAUAAGAUUAAGUUACCUUAGGGAUAACAGCGUAAUUUUUUUAAAGAGUUCAUAUCGAUAAAAAAGAUUGCGACCUCGAUGUUGAAUUAAAGGUUAUUUCUAGAUGUAGCAGUUUAGAGUUUAGGUCUGUUCGACCUUUGAAUCUUUACAUGAUCUGAGUUCAAACCGGA